rnacentral:lncRNA from 1 species
UCUCAUUCAAAGAAUUUUAAUACCACGGUUCCUUCCAGGCAUUGUACCAACGAGACCAAUACAACCAAUUUCAAUUACUGCCUGAAAUGGUGGUUGAUCAACACCUUCCUAUUUGCCUGAUUGUGCUGGGCGUUUCAUCUACUCCGUCCGGUAUAUAUGCCCUGAAAAGUGAAGGCGGGGCUUCUUCCCCCGUUUUACCUUCGGUGUGAGAAUUAGUUUAUAGGCUUGAAAAAUAUGAUUGGAAUUUUAAGGAAGAACAAGAUAGAUCGAAAGAGAGAACCCUUUACCUGUGCUGCGUCCGGAGGUAUUUAUAGACAUUAGGGAUCGGAUAACCACUGGGCGGAUAUGGUGCCACAUGUCCCACGUUGGCGUUCUCACUAUGCCCACGUUCUGAGUGGGGGAUCUCUAGUUUUCCACCUAGGGAUUGUUUUCGUAUUUAGCAGCUAUGGAACCAAGUUAAUUCACUAGGAGUUUUAUGGCUAAGUGUUUGGACAGGCAGUCCCAUUCUAGUUGUAGACCUCGCGUAGUGGUAGAGCGCCCCUAAGGGGGUCGAUGUCUUUGCGUAGUGGUAGAGUGCCCCUAGGGGGGUCGAUGUCUUCGCGUAGUGGUAGAGCGCUUCUAGGGGGGUCGAUGACUUCGCGUAGUGGUAGAGCGCCUCUAGGGGGGUCGAUGACUUCGCGUAGUGGUAGAGCGCCUCUAGGGGGGUCGAUGACUUCGCGUAGUGGUA